UUGAGCUUCUCUCUCAUUCUUUUGUUUUUGCGCCACCACUCACACCAAGAAGCUAAGCUCUUGCCUCUCUACCUUCUGGUUUAAUCAAGUCUACAUAGAGACAGAUAUGGAGGUGGCGAUGGAGAUAGAAGAUGAUUUGUUCUUUCAAGACUUGAGCAAGCAAAUUUCUCUUCUAAUCAUGGACGAUGAUGAAGACCCGGUUGCUCGUUGCCCUUCUGUUUCUCUCCAGGUUCUUCUUCAUGUCCAUGCCCUUCUGUUACAAAAGAAAGAACAUGUUUUCUUGCUUCCUAGCUUCCAUCACCUGUGUGGAGCCUCUGUUUCUCACAUGAUAAUAUGAUAAUUAAACUCUGUUUGAUUGAUGUUCAGGCCUUCUCCAGAGUGAUCCACCCAUCCACACAAUACCCAAUCCUACAUGAUCAAAAUUGCAGAAGAGAGAGCAAAGGCACAGGAGUUUUCAUUCCAAGAUCAUCCCAGCCAAGAAGGAAGAACAGGCAAGGGAGAUUCAACUCAUCCAACACCAAAUCUCAAAGGCAACC
rnacentral:lncRNA from 1 species